AUUUUUUCAAUGUGGCUCUUUGCCUUGGGGAAGUUUUUUGGUUGUGUUACAAUCUGAUUAUUGAAAUUGUCAUGCAGAUACAUAGGCAUUGUAAGAGAUGUGAAUAUACUAUAAAUGCUCUCUGUAAGCUUGUAGUAUAUGCGAAGUCUCUUUAGGUAGGAAUAUAGUUGCCACCUUAAGCUAAAUGGGUUUUAUUAACAUAAUGCAGAGCUUUAUGAGGGGGAAAAAAGGUUAAAAGUUCCCUCAGAAAUUUGCAGGCUUUUUAUUCUUUUCUGUCCAUAUGUUAAGUUAUAAAACGCUCCAGAAAAGCAAGAAAACGUUUCUUUGACCAGUUCAAGUUCUACAUUAUCUCCUCACAAGAUGAUCAGUUGAAGUUUGCUAAAUACAGAGAGUAUAGGAUCAAUGCUUUGUUGCUCUAUGACUAUUAAGCCCUAAAACUUACAUGUAUUUUGGAGUUAUUCCAGGAAACGAGGACGGCAUUGAACCACGUAUUGAUCUUAAGGUCUAUACCUUUGAUGAUCUUCUCUUUUCUAGUCUACCUAAUCUUGAUUGAUUACAUACUAUUUGGAGAAAAAUUUACCAUCCUGAGUUUAAAACUGAGACGUUUCCAUUUAUGGCUUCAGGGAUACAUACUCGGAAAUCCAGUAACGAAGGUUUCAGGAUUCUGAACUAUAGGGUUCCGUUUGCUUAUGGGAUGGGGCUGAUUUCUGAUGAACUCUAUGAGGUAACUUAUUUCUUUUGUUUGUUACCUAUUGAUAUCUCAGAACACUGUCAUUUGUCACAUGCAUUCUUACAAUGUAAAAUUACCCGUGAUUUUCUAAUUGACCUGUAUAUUUACAAUGCAGUCCUUGAAGGUUAGCUGUAAAGGGGAAUAUGAAAUCAUAGAUCCCAGUAAUGCUGUGUUCGAAAAAUAUGCAGGCAUACAAUGAGGCAAGCAACCAUAUCUAUGCAAUUUUUAUGUGACUAUAUUUUCAAAAAUUAGGCAAGGCCUAAUGGAUUUACUUAAAGUGCCUCCUAAACUCAAGAAAGAGGGAUAGAGUUAAGGAUUGUCAGUAUAACGUUUCUGAAUAGUGUAAUAUCAUUUGAAGAAGCAGUAAUUCAUUGUAACUUACUCAUACAAUUUCGUAACAGAGUUGCAGUUAAUGUUGGGCUUACACGAGCACUGAUCGAACAUCAUAUUUCUGUUGCGAAAUUGUAGAAGUUAACAAUGAAUUACUCUGAUUUAUUCAAACAAUAACACACUUUCCAGAAACGGUUGUACUGACAAUUGGUUCCUACCCCUUCCCUUUAAUUUGCGGGCUACAAAAGGUGGGAAGAAUCAGAAUAAAGGAACGGGCAACAAGAAUGAUGGUGUAAAUAAUUUCUUCUGCAGUUGGUUCGUAAUAUUGACGAUGAACAGAUCUUGAUGCCCGUAUGUCCUCCUCUUUCACGAGAGCCAAAUAAAUUAUUUACUGGUGGGAGAUCCAUUAUACAAAUGUUGUAUAAGAAGUUUGAAGAGCUAGACGUUCGGGAAUCUACUCCAGUCAAAUGUCGAGUAAGAUACUACUAGUAUCGUUCUAUGUAAACUUGGAUAAGAGCAUCAGUUCUUGGUAGCACAACUGAUCGCCGUUUCUUCUGUUCACUGGCAAUCGUAGAUGGAAUGGUUAAGCUCGUUGAGCACUGGGCUAACAACAAGAGCGUCCAAGAGGCCCUCCAUGUGCGAAGGGUAUGUCUAAAUCGAGCACUAUGGUAUGUAGCAUUUGAAUGCCGAAGCAAGCCUGAACUGAUUUCUGUAAUCACAUUGCAGGAAACUAUCGGACAGUGGUUAAGAUGCAACGAUACCUUGCCAUACACAAAAAAUGCAGGGAGUGUUGUACCAUAUCACGCAAACCUUAGCACUAAAGGUUAUAGAUCCCUUAUAUACAGGUUUGGUAGCUAACUCUGAAUCUUGAUGCAUGUAGGUUAACAGCAGUGAUUUUAAGUACUGAAAGUGGAGUACUUUGUGAUUCAGUGGUGACCAUGAUCUGAUGGUACCGCACAUUGAAACUCAAGCGUGGAUAAGAUCUCUACAUUACCCAAUUAUUGACGAUUGGAGACAGUGGAUUCAUGAAGGCCAAGUUGCCGGGUUUGGUUCAAAAUUGAACAAUGUUUCUUUUCUUGAUUACACCACCAUUAGCACGAGAUAAAAAGAUGACUUUACCCGACUCAUCUAAAUUUGUUCUGUUUUCCUGCCUCCAGUUACACAAGGACUACGCAAAUAAGAUGACAUUUGCAACAGUGAAGGCAAGAAAUUCCUGUUUCUAUUGCUUCAGUGCAAGAUUUGUUCACAUGGUAACGACUAACAACAAGGUUAGAACAUUCUUGGGACUAACUAGCACCCCUUUUUUCUUUUUCUUUUUUUUGGGUGAAGGGAGGAGGCCAUGUUGCUUAUGAGUUGAAGCCUGCCGAAUGCAGAACUAUGCUUGAGAGAUGGAUAUCGCAUCAGCCUCUCUAAUCAGUUGGCAUAUGGAUUAUGAACAUCUUUGAUCACUUCUGCGCAUCAAAUGUGCACUCUUAAUAUAUUAUUUGUAACUUUGGGUCAUGAGACGCUUCUCUCCAUGUCUCCAAUGGAUUGCCUUCUUAUGGAGAUAUGAUUAGUGGAGAAGUGAAUAAAAUGUAGUAGUUAAAAUGGGAAUCACGUUACGCCUCCAAACAUUUCUAUAUGACUGCUGAAGCUUUUACUUUGAAGAUAUGUCAUUGAAUUAAAUUUCCUCUAUUUUGCAAUAAAUAAAAUUUUGAAUUCACAGGAAAGUACCGUUUGCCAAGGAAUUCAAAUAUUAAAAAAAAUUGUUACUCCAUUAAACAUGAAUGGAGGGAAUCUACCAAAGCUUUUAAAAGAUGAAGUGGAGUAGGAAAAGGAAUUUCUUAUAAAUAAUGGAAAAGCAAUUUUCUUGAGAAUACUUUAAAACCAAAAGAAGAUAAAAAAAAAAAUCUCUUAUGUCUGGACUGAUCUAAUCACUUUUUAAGCAAAACUGUGACUCAAAAGUAAUUUAAAAGCCUUUUUUUUGUAGUCCUAAACUACGUGUUGUUGCCAUGGAUGAUCUGGUCAUCGAAACCUUACACUUAGCUAGAUUCGAUUUUUAGAAAUUUAAUUGGCUAGAUUCGAUUGUCAGAAAUUUAAUGGAUCAAAUUGUGUUACGCAUCUCACCAAGUGGUGCGACUUAAUCUGACUAUUGAGUUUUGAAAAUCGAAUCUAUCAAAUUUGGGCUGAACAUAUUAAGGAUAUAAAGAUCUCUCCAUUUAUGAUGAGCCCGGCAACAACGUUCAAAUCAUGUCUAGGACUGAUCUAAUCAUUUUUUAAACAAACUAUGCUCAAAAGUACCUUAAAAUCCCCCUUUUUUUUUAGAUAGUCCUAAAUUACAUGUUUAUGGUCAUGGAUAAUCUGGUCAUCGAAGGCUUACACUUGACUCAUACUUGAGUAAAUUCGAUCUUUAGAAAUUCAAUAGGUCAAAUUGUGCUACCACCUCACCAAGUGAUGCGACUUAAUUUGGACUACUGAAUUUUUCACAACCGGAUCUUCCAUGUUUUGCUGAACUUGUUAAGGUAUCAAGGUCUCUCUAUUAAUGAUGAGCCCGGCGACAUCAUUCAAAUCCUGCUGGUGCUAAGGAGAACGGGGCGCACAUAUGGGUGCAUGGGCUCACGUUUUUGCCUACUCAUAUGGAAAGGACGAAUGCAAGGCUCAUAUGGGAAGACGAGACGUGCCCAAUCAACAGAAACCUCGAGGAGAGAGAAGGUGAAGCGUGACGGAGAAAAAAAACAGAGAAUAGAGUUUGGACAUUCUUAUCAAGUAUUGCGUGGACUAUUUCAAGGUCCUCAACUAUUGAUUUGUACUUUGAUCAAACUUCAAAGGAGGUAGUGCAAAUAACCCUUUAAUGGUUUAAACAAGUCAUUUUCUUUUCUUUUCUUUUUUUCGUUAUUUGAAGGAAAACAUUUACAACAAAAAGGAAAAAAAAACAAAAACAAAAAACAGUUAUGUAAGUGAACUUUACAUGCAUUACAGUUUGUGAUAAGGUACAAUUUUAUCAUUUAUUUUAUUAUUAAUUUUCCCUAUUACCUGACCCAAUGUGGAUUAAUUAUUAGAUUCUAGUCACUUUUCGUAAUUUACAUUUAGGGAAAAUGACAUGUUUCAUCCUUCACAUUUCGUAAAAAUAUUCUUUUCAUCCCUCACUUUUAAAAUGAAACAAAUUCGUCCUUGACAUCUAAGAAUUAAAGUUAUUACAUCCCUGAAUCUAAUUUUCAAUCUGAAUCAAACCAUUCAAUAACCUAGUAAUAAAUUUCGGAAAUAGAAUUGAUAGAUCACUCGAUUAAUUUCAUCAUAUUCACAUGACAUUUAUUCAACCAAAAAAAUAAAAAUUAUAACAUAAAAGACCAUUCUUUGUUCUGGAAUAGUAGAGUUUUUUUUUUUUGGUAAAUCUUUUCAUAUACCGUUAGUAUAUUCGCUUGCGAAUCUAGAUGUGUGUCAUAAAUAUAAAAUUUGGUGUUUAAAUUUAAAUUGAAAUGAUAUGACGGUACAUAAAACUGUCAGUGUAUACAAUGAUAAUGUAAAAAAGAUUAAUCUUUCUUUUUUAUAUUAUAAUUUUUUAUUUUUGGAUUCGUUAAAUUUUACAUGAAUAUCAAGUUGAGUUAACCAAGUGAUCUACCAAUUACACCCCCAAAAUUUGUAAUCAGGUUGAUUGGUAAUUUGAUUCAGAUUGAAAUUUGGGUUCAGGGAUGUAAGAAUUUCAGUUUUUAAAUGUCAAUGACGAAAUUGCUUCGUUUUAAAAGUAAGGGACGAAAAGAAUAUUUUUGUGAAAUGUGAAAGAUGAAACCGAUCAUUUUUCCUUACAUUUAUUUCAGGGAGUAAAAUGAAAAUGCCACAACUAAUGCCAAUUUGACAGUCAUCAGGAAAGAAUUCAAAAAGAAGACACUCAGGGACAAUUUUGGAACAAAAGAGACGCGAGGCCUUUUUAUUCAUUUUGGCCGAAGUCUUCCUGGAAUGGGAGAGCCGCCGCAAAGGAUAUCAAUAAAAGGGGCAGCCGCAAAACAGGAGAGAGGCAUUAGAGUAGGUUUUUAGAUAGGAAAUAAAGUAGAAAACAGGGAGGACUACUCUAGGAAUUGCUUCUGGUUGACUUUUCUUUUGUUGGCUUUUGCUUAGCUUUAACUCUCGUAUGUCAAUUAGGCACAAUUGAAUGAUUCCCUGUAGCUUUUCUCUUGGACGCUGGCUUUUCGUCCUUUGUGGUUGCUUAAAGAUGGCCGUAGCUUUUGCGUCAGUUUUGUAUGGGUUUUUCUCAUCAACAAUGAGCUAAACCCCUUUAUCUAGUCAAGGGACAACGGAUGCUUUGAGUCAUCUAAAAUUGUGAGAUCGAUUUAAUUUUAUCUUUUCCUUUAUUUAUUGGUAUUCGCAUAUUCUUUGAUUUUAGUACUUAUGGUUAUUUAAUUAAUUGAUUGUUUUGGAUUCGGAUAAUUAGUUGAUUGGGUAAUCUAUUGUCAAUUAGGGCAUUAAAUUCGUAAUUGUUUAAUUGCUCUAAAUAGUGACAACUGGCAUGAUUGGUUUUGUGUCAGGGGAAUACGCGGGCUAACCUAAAAUAACUCUGGUAGUGCAUUAUUGGUUAGAAUAGGGCUCCUCUAAUAUGUAAGGCAAUUGAGGAAUUAAAUCUUACGGGCGUACUUAGGAUUAUUUCUCAAUUAGAAUAGUGGUUAACGGACGUACCUUAAUCUCCGACACAGUAAGGAUAGGGGUGAGCAAUUACGGUAAUUACCGAAUUACCGACCAAAUUCGAUUUGAAUUUGGUAAUUCGAAUUCGGUAAUUAGGUAAUUCGGUCAGUAAAUCGGUGGUAUCGAAUUAAUUAGAAUCGAAUUAGGGUCGAAAAUGGUUUUAUAGUUUUUGAAUUUGAAUUUACCGAAUUCGAAUUUAUUUCGGUAAACCGGUAAAUUAUUACCGUUUUCAAUUUCAAAAUUCCGAAUUAAGUUAAAUAGGAAAUAAUAUCCUUAUGUCCAGAUGUUCCAAUUUCAGACUUUUGCCCUAAAUUAGCAUUCGUUCCCAUCAGGUAAAAUCGUUCCCAUUGGCUCAAAUCCAUCUGCCCAGACGGUGCAGUCUGUGCAUAACCUAUGGUGUCUCCACAAUCCAAAUGCAUCUUGGUUAAGCGAGGAUACCGCACCAGAGUGCUCAACCCAAAGGGGUACUGUGCAUGUUUUGACCAUUCCCUGCAAUCUCUUUCAACCUUGAUUUGGAUCUCCUCCAGGUUGGGACAAUCCUCAAGACCAGCAGCAGUCAAUGGGGUUAGAAGCUCACUGCUCACCCACGCCAAUCCAGAGUGAAAGACAUUGCAGUCUGUCCCAUGAAUUGCUACAAAAUCCAUUGCCGCUGCUGUUAAAUUGCAGAGCAGAGCAAUUCAGAUCGUAGGAGUGUCUGCACCUCUUCUUCUGCUGCACAUGAUAUCACUGUCAUAAUCUCCAAAGUAGUUAACAGAUCCAUCCGACUGGUUCGAUGCCCUAAGAAGCAGUUUUCACGAAUUCGAUUAAAUCGGUAAAUUUUCGUUACCGAAUUCAAUUCGGAUUGAAUUCAAAUUCGAUAUUUCCUAUUUCGAAUGCGAAUUAGGUCGAAUAUUUCCAGAAUCAUUUACCGAAAAUUACCGAUUUCAACCUACCGAAUUACCAACUUCGAAUUCGAUGCUCACCCCUAAGUAAGGAGGGGUUGAUUGUCAUCGUUUGUUUGGCAGUUAUAACUUAUUUAUUAGUAAAUAAUUAGAAUUGGCUCUGCAUCGAUGAUCAAUUAGGUGAACCAUUGCUGAAAUUAUUUCUUGACUAGAUCCUUAAUUAUCACUCAUUUGAUUUUAGUAAUUUGUUAUUUAAUCUUUAGUAGUUUCUUAGAUUUUAGUUGAAUUUCUUUGAUUGUCACCUUCUAUACAAAAACACCCCUCUUGUCACUGUAAACCUGAAAAGAAAUAAUUACUUCCAGUCCCUGUGGAUUCGACCCUACUCACCGCUAUCUACUGAAAUUACUUUUAGUUUGAGCAGUUUUUAUUAUUGCACAGGCUGACACCCUGUCAAUUUUUGGCGCCGUUGCCAGGGACUGAUGCCAGAUUAAUUUAUUUCUUUUUGAGUUCAUCUUGUUUUUAUUUUAUUUUUUUAUUUAUUUUCUCUUAUUUUUUUAUAUAGUUUAUGGCUUCUAACACUCCGUAUUUUGGUGAUAGACUGGAUUUUGUUUCCAAGGAAGUCAAUAAGGCUUGUUUUUUUUCUAAGUUUGCAUAUUCAGAGACACUAAACUUUCUUAGAGAAAGAAUGGCUGCUGCAACCUGUGAAAUUUGUUAUGUCAGGGAUCAUUCAAUCAGUUUGUGCCCCGAAUAUCAAGACUACCUGAGUGACUAUCUCAAAAAAAAAUUUGGAGAUUCUUCACCUCGAUCUCAAACGUGGUAUGACCCUUAUUCAAACCGGUAUGAUCAAGGAUGAUGGGAUAACUCCAACGUUAAUUAUGAAGAGGGGCCAAUGAGUUUUCAACAGCAAGAAUCUCAACAAUCGUCAUUUAUGUCAGAAUUGCCCUCACAGACCAUCAAUGACUCUAAGGAAGGUGAGAGUGCAAUUAUCCUGACAAGUGAUAUGGAACUGCAAGAGUCUCAAGAAGGAGGAUCCAAAGAUGAAGUUGAAAAGGAAGUUGAAGUGGAAGACAUGAGACUCCAACAUCAAAUUACCCUAGUGAACGAAUCCAGUGAGCAAUUACUAAAUGCGAUGACACCCACUCCAUCCCUUAAUCUAUAUUCCCCAGACUCUUACUCUAUAACUUCUGUUAAUGAGAUUGAUUUUGUUAUACCGGAAGUGUUUGAGUCUCAUUGCAGAAAUGAUUUAAGAGUAGUUAUGGUCAAAUAUCUUGAACCGUUGAAUGCUCUUGAUGGAGGAGUGGAUGAAAAAUGGAGAUCACUGCUUGAUUAUUUGGCGCCAUCAACUAAUCCAUGGAAGACCAUAGCUCGUGUACUCAAGGAUUACUCUAUUUACGAGGGUUAUCAGGACUAUAUAACGGAUGAAGCAUUGAAACAAGCCACAAGAUUUUAUCCUGCAUGAACAAAACAUGAUAAUGUCUAGCCAAAGACAUUAAAGAAAGGCGCUCAUUGGGAGGCAACCCAAUUCCUUUUAGUUGUUUGUUCAUUUUUGUUUGUUAGUUUAAAUAUGUUUUUCCUUGGAUUUGACUGAUUUGUGGAUUCAAUUUUCGUUUUUGAUGAUUUGUAGGUGUCCUUCUGUCAUGACGCGCCCUCGUCAUGACGUAGGGAGAGCUCACGGCCAGAAUCGUCUGAAAGGAAUUCUUGCCCUCAUGCCGUGCCCGCAUCAUGACGUAGGGAGAGGUCAUGAUCAGAAUCGUCUGAAAGGGAUUCUUGCCUUUAUGCCGUGCCUGCGUCAUGACGUAGGGAGAGGUCAUGGUCAGAAUCGUCAGAAGGGAUUCUUGUCCUCAUGACGUGCCCGCGUCAAGUAACCUGGAGAGCUCUUUAUUCCGUGCCUUCGUCACGUGCCCACGUCACAAUCGCGGGAAAGGUAAGUAUUCAAAAAAGCUCAAGAACAAUUAUUGAUUUUCUGUUAAACUCUACUUUUGAAUUCCGAAAAUAAAUUUUGUUAAUAAUAAUAAAAAAAAGAUGAUAUAUGUAAAAAAAAAAAUUUUUUAAAUUUCAAGUAAGUAACAAGAAGAAAAAAAAAGAGGAGUCUUUCCGUGAAAAAAAAUUUUUUCUAAAAUGAAAAAAAAUGAAAAAGCAAAAGAAAAAAGAAAAAAAACAUAAAUACUAUUUUCUUUUUCUUUUCCUUUCUUUCCUUUUCUUUUUCUUUCUUUCAUUUCUUUCUUCUUCUUUCUUUCUCUUUUCUUUCUUUCUUCUUCCCUGUUUCUUCUUCUCUUUCGGCCGAGCACACCUCAUGCCCGCACCAUCUCCUUUACCCGCUACCGCCCCGCUGCUCUUGUGUCCACCGCUGCUUUCCACCACCAUCUCGCGCGUCCUCUCUCCUCUUUGCAGCAACCCCAGCAGCCACCGUGGUAAGCCGCUGCCUCUCGCUCUCGUCGCCGCCCCUCCUCACCAGUUCAGCGCUGAUGCACACCGUCCGAAACCUAUCACCCUCGCCUGCACACUCGCCGGCCACCGCCUUCUCUUUCCUCCCACUUCGCACGCCACCACCAGCUCCGCCCCUCCUAUCUCUCUCUCUCUCCUCGCGGCUCUCACUCUGCCCGCAGCCCACGGACGGCCAUCUUGCCACCUUGCCCAGCCAAAGCCAUCUCUUUCCCUCUCCCUGGCCGCAACCACCAUUCUGCCGACGUGGAGGUAUUCCAAUUGACAAAGCGGAGAUUCACAACGUAGAUAAGCGAAUAACGAACAUCGCCCGCCAAGGGGAAAGGAUGUCUUAGAACGUGGCCUCAUACCUUCACCACGUUGGUUUGCCUCCGUAGUUGCCAAAUACCCCUUAAUCACCCGAGAGGGAAGUUUCGUUAUCCUCUUCGCUUUAAUUAUUUUACUUCCUCCAUUAAGGACAAUGUAGGAUCUAGGUGUGGGGGGAGGGAUAACUAUGCCAGUUUUUAGUUUUCAGAUGUCCUUCUUUUAUUUCUAGUUUGUCAUUUGUCUAGUUUUCGUUUACUUUUUUUUUAAUGAAUACCAAAGUUUGAUGUUGGAUUGUUGACUCUAAUUCUGCUAUUGCCAAGUUUUAAUAAUAAAAGUGUAUCAAGUUAAUGUGGUUGAAUCCAAGAAUAUCUCUUUAGUCAAUUUUGGCGAUUGUUUUACUCUCGUAAUUUUUGAUUAACUUUUCUAGACAUAGGAAAUGAUUGUUGGCAUUUUCAUAUGAAUUGGUCCGAUUAUUAAUCUAAGUUCUCCAUAUUUGAAAAUGAGGCUAGCGGCUGCAAAUUUUCUUUUGAUUUUUGUGUUAUUUUGAAUUUUUUGUAUUAUUUGGCUGUGAAUAAGAGUUGACUAUACUCCGAUAGUAUUUACUACCGAGUAACCGGGGAUCUUCGCCAAAAGUGUCGAUUCUCGCGUCAAAAAGUAGUAAUUGCUAUGAGUACGUGGUCACGUGACGAUAGAAACUGAGUAACCGGACUCCUUCAUCUGGCAAAUGUUGGAGUUCGCGUCAAAAGACUCUAAUGGCUAGCGACUAAGUCUUUUGUUACUAUUGAGAAAAGCAAAAAAAAAAAAAGAGAAAAGUAGAAAUAUGUAAUAGAAAAGUGAAAGUUGUGUUAGUAUAUAAUAAAAGUCAACUUGUCGAUUUAUGGAUUUAAUGUUGAGAUUUUGGUUAAUAGUUGGACCAUUUGUUGAUAAAUGUUGUGUGUCAUUCCUCAUUCUCAGAUUAGUUAACAUGAAAUUAGAGGAGUUUAUGGUUUAGAAACUAACCGGAGUGAUGUUUCUUGGAUUUGACCAUUGAUGCUUGAUUAUUAUUUUUUAUUGGUAUCUUGGCAAUUUGUUGGAUAGAGCAAUAGCCACUAUAAAAUAUUGGUGUUUGUUUGUUGUUCUCAUGCUUGAGAACAAGCAUGAUUUAGGUGUAGGGGAAUUGAUAGGGUGCAAUUUUAUCAUUUAUUUUAUUACUAAUUUUCCCUAUUACCUGACCCAAUAUUGAUUAAUUAUUAGAUUCUACUCACUUUUCGUAAUUUACAUUUAUUUCAGGGAGUAGAAUGAAAAUGCCACAACUAAUGUCAAUUUGACAGUCAUCAGAAAAGAAUUCAAAAAGAAGACACUCAGGGACAUUUUUGGAACAAAAGAGACGCAAGGCCUUUUUAGUCAUUUUGGCCGAAGUCUUCCUGGAAGGGGAGAGCCGCCGCAAAUGAUAUCAAUAAAAGGGGGCAGCCGCAAAACAGGAGAAAGGCAUUAGAGUAGGUUUUUAGAUAGGAAAUAAAGUAGAAAACAGGAGUACUACUCUAGGAAUUGCUUUUGGUUGACUUUUCUUUCGUUGGCUUUUGCUUAGCUUUAACUCUCGUAUGUCAAUUAGGCACAAUUGAAUGAUUUCCCUGUAGCUUUUCUCUUGGACGUUGGCUUUUCGUCCUUUGUGGUUGCCGCAAGAUGGCCGCAGCUUUUGCGUCAGUUUUGUAUGGGUUUUUCCCAUCAACAAUGAGCUAAACCCCUUUAUCUAGUCAAGGGACAACGGAUGCUUUGGGUUAUCUAAAAUUGUGAGAUCGAUUUAAUUUUAUCUUUUCCUUUAUUUAUUGGUAUUCGCAUAUUCUUUGAUUUUAGUACUUAUGGUUAUUUAAUUAAUUGAUUAUCUUGGAUCCGGAUAAUUAGUUGAUUGGGUAAUCUAUUGUCAAUUAGGGUAUUAAAUCCGUAAUUGUUUAAUUGCUCUAAAAUAGUGACAACUGGCAUGAUUGGCUUUGUGUCAGGGAAAUACGGGGCUAACCUAAAAUAACCCUGGUAGUGCGUUAUUUGGUUAGAAUAGGGCUCCUCUAAUAUGCAAGGCAAUUGAAGAAUUAAAUCUUACGGGCGUACUUAGGAUUAUUUCUCAAUUAGAGUAGUGGUUAACGGGCGUACCUUAAUCACCGACACAGUAAGGAGGGGCUGACUGUCAGCGUUUGUUUGGCAAUUAUAACUUAUUUAUUAGUAAAUAAUUGGAAUUGGCUCUGCAUCGAUGAUCAAUUAGGUGAACCAUUGCUGAAGUUAUUUCUUAGCUAGAUCCUUAAUUGUCACCCAUUUGAUUUUAGUAAUUUGUUAUUUAAUCUUUAGUAGCUUCUUAGAUUUUAGUUGAAUUUCUUUGAUUGUCACCUUUUACACAAAAACCCCCUCUUGUCACUGUAAACUUGAAAAGAAAUAAUUACUCCCAGUCCCUGUGGAUUCGACCCUACUCACCGCUAUCUAUUAAAAUUACUUUUAGUUUGAGCAGGUUUUUAUUAUUGCACAGUCUGGCACCCUGUCAGUUUGUGAAAUUCGUCAAUUCUUUGUAGAAUUCUGUUUAGUGUACUGAAACAUAAGCGUAAUAUUCCACAACAUCAUCUUUGUAAGAACCAUAUUAGUUUUACCAUUGACUUAGCCUCCAAAGAGUAGCUUCAGUAACACCUAAUCAAAUAAACUUCUACUUCUUGUGAAAAUCAAUGUUCAAAAAGCACAUCGGGUUAUCAGAUGAACUUCCACACAAGGGUAAAAUAUAUCUUGACAGAUAAAAGGUAUUCUAACAGUUCAAAGAAACCUCAAGUCUCCAAUCUGCAUAGUCCAAUUAAGGAACUAAUUAUUAAUGGAUCAUUGCAAGAAGUCUGAUUUUGACCUGAAAUGAUGAUGGAUGACCAAAACUAUCAAGUACAAAAGCUGAUUCAUUCACUCUGCCUCUGACCCAAAACUGGAAUAUCUUCGUAACGCUUCUGUAAUGCAAUAUUUAUGAAUUUCAGUUAGACAUCCAUGAAAGCCACGACGAAGGUAAAGCAGACAUAUCUAUUAUUACAUAAAGCAGGAAAGUAAAAUGCUAGAAGCAGAGAAGAAUAUUGACUAUAAAAACACAUUUGCAGAACACGAGCCAAAUAACACGUAGGUUUAAUUUCAAAUGCUCACUCAAUCAUGAUACUUGCCAACCCCACUCGAAUACAGUUCCAGACACAAUUUUCAAAGCUUACUUUGAAAAUAAUAGAAACUUCGAUGGCAGAUUUUGAAAAUAAUAAUUAGCAUGACAUCAUAAGCAUUUCAGCUAUAGCAUCACACAUAAAAAUCUUAAUCCUGUUUUGCAUGAUCUAACAAAAAACUUAUCUGAACAAUUCUUACUAAGAAGCAACCAUAGAAAAUUAGAGUUCAAUCUCAUUCAGCUGAUUCACUGCAUGUUCUUUAGUAAUCAACAGUUUGACUUGGUCUUUAAGUGUCCAUGAAUGUUCAAUUAGUCAAAUAGCCAACUAAAAUCAGAAAAUAAGUCUUUGAAAAGAUGGAUCUAAAUUCAAAGGUUCCUAUAUUUAUCAAUCAAGCUAUGGUACAAGUCUAAGGACAAGGAACACAUGGUAAAUCAACAUUUGGUGCCACACUGGAUAACAUCGUAGUCAUGAGAAGAGUGACAGGCAUCUUAAAUCAUCAAAGGGUGAAUUUAAUCAGAUAACUACUAAACAAUACGCCAAAACUGUAGACAAUACGAGGCGCAAGAAAGACUAAAUAAUAGAAUUCCUUUGUUUGUAUACGAUACUCGUUUGAGCCUGUAAGAGCUAUGCUGUACAGUAUCUCAAAUGAAUUUCAGCUGCAAAAAGUUAUAAUCCUACACUAUCCAACAUCUAUCAUGAGAAGCGUGCACAAAAAACACAUCAAGCAUCAGUUUGGAAUUACCACAAUGACUAUUUUCUUCUCUCUCCAUUUCCUAAAACAACAAGAAGUUGAGCCUAGGCUUUUCAGCUAGUACUAUCUAACUUGUAUCAGUUGGAUGGGCUUAUUGUCCAACGUCUUGCUUUUAUAGCAUGCUACAAUCUUGAACAAAGAAAUUGCAGAAACCUCUAAAACGAUAAAAAAUUAAGUGACUAUUCACAUCAUAUUGAAGUCGUCCUGCUCAAUUCCCAACAGCCCCUAAAAACUUUCUUUUUUCCCUAGAAGAAAAUCCAAGUUUAAUCUCCACUGUAUUUCCACCUCAUAUUCAACUCUCACUUUCUCAAGGAGAAAAUGCAAUGAAUAAUUAAAGGAAAACAUUCCUUCCCUCAUUGACAAUGUAUCGAUUAGCAUUUUUUGAAGUAAAUAAAGCAAAGGAGCAUUAGACAGUAAACAAUCUUUCCUAAUUUCUUAUAACUAGAGGUACCAAAAUGGGUGAUUUGAGUGGGUUGGAUUGGUUAAAAUGGGUAAUAAGUAUAAGCGAGUCAACCCAUUUAUACCCAUUUAAUUAGAUGAAUAUAAAUGGGUAAGUCAAAAAAUGAAUUGGAUAACCCAAUUAUCCAUUUAUAACCCAUUUAUUUUAACUUUUCAUAAACUCAUUUAAAUUCAUUUUUGUAAACUAUGUUAUGAAUUUGUACCACCCUUUGCACCCAUCAUUAGUUUUAAAUAUUUACUUAUAAUGUUCAAUAAGUCUAAUUACCAAAUUUUUUUUCAUCCGUACUCUAUGUCGCAAAAUUAUAUACUAUUUAAUAAUUGAACAAUAAGAAUAUAAAAUUUUGAUCUAAGUACUAUAAAAUUUAAUAUAAAAACUUGAUUCAAAAAUUUUGAACUCCUAAUAUUUUUUUCGUGUGUAAAUUUAAAAUUUCAUUUUGAAAAAGUAGAAAAAGAUGUUAAAACUUGUCAUAAAUUGAUAAUGGUGAAAAAUGAGUAAAUUAACAAACCAAGAGAAAAUAAAAUGAAAAGAUAAAAUUCAUAAAUAAUAAUAAUAAUAAUAAUAAUAAAACAAAAGUAGUUAACAAUAUGAUAAAAUGAAGAAUCUGAAAAAAAAAUGGGUGGUGGAAGAGAGGGGGUUUAGGGAAAGACAAUUUUAAAUGGAUUAAUUGGAUUUGACACGUUACCUAAUAAUACACAUUUAUUAUAUGAGUAUUAUUGGGUAAUCCAUUUAUACCUAUAUACAAAAACUUAAGAUACUCAUAUCCUUCUAUUCAUGGACGAAUAUGGAUAAAUUUAAUUAAAUGAGUUUGUUUGCUACCUAUACUUAUGACAAUCAAAAUCCACUUUUAAGGCUAAGUAUCAUACAUCACUUUUUCUUUUCUUUUUUUUUGGUGAAAAUGUCAACUUGUAUAUCAUACAUCACUUGACUAUAGGACAUCUUCGUUUAAUGUCUAUCUCUGCCAUCUGUCAAACAAAUAUACCUCUCCAAGCCAUCCUGCAACCAUGAUUUUGUUUUUUUUUUUUUCCGGAAUUUAUCAACCUUAUAACUGGUCCUCGGAAGAUUCUAAAAGCUGGCGUGGCCAACGUGUUAGAUUAAGGGAAGAAGGGUCAAGGCCACCAACAGUACUAUCUUUAAAUUUAGCUGGAAAACAAUUACAGAAAAAGGAACUACCUACAUCCUGUAAGAACCCAAAAAUCAUAUGUACCAAAGAUUCAGGGAUCCAUCCCAAUGGCUGCAUCACAACAAAAAUGCUAAAGAAAAUCAUUCCCUACCAAUAGCUCAUGACCCCUCAGAAACCAAAUAUAACUAACAAUACAUUCUUUAUUGCCCUAUAAAGGAUAUCAAGCUAUGAAGGAGUCAACAUAGAAGAAUAGAAACAAAAAGGCACUCAAGGUCAUUGGAGAUUUUUUUUAAAAAAAAAUGCCAGGAAAGCAUAUCUAGCAACUACCCGUUCAGAUUAUUCUUACGGUUUCCCUAAAUCCUUUACCCCAAAUCUCCUCUCUCCUGUCUGAAAAUGUUACCAACAGUGCCCAGACCGUACAGAUGCCAUAUUCAGUCUAUGCAUCUAGGCGAUUUUGAAUUUUUCAAAACUAGGGUAUCGGUACAUGGCCAAUGAUCUAGAAUCGGCUAGAGGGGUGCUGUCUUGUGUCCUUUCUGUAAGUAGCGUAUUAUGAAAAUGUAAUGACUUAAAUGAUGAAAUGGCUCAUGCUUAAAAGAAUUCCAAUGUACAAUCUUUGCACCUUGAUUUUCUUUUCUAUUUUUGUUCUUGUGUUCAUUAACUUUAUGGUGUCUUAAGUGUUGGACAAACAUCGCAAUUCUGAUGGGUUUAGCCUUUUCCUUUCUUGGAUUCUCAGCAGCCGGCGUCAAUAAAGAAAAACAAAUGCUGGGGAGUUGAGAUUUUAUUGGUUUUGGGAAUUUUUCCAACGGAGCGGGUAAGAUGGGUAGCUGAACCGGCUGGAGCUAUUUCACUCUGGUUCAAAAGGCAACUAAGGAGUUUUUAAGCUUUUCAUUCUUUUCUCUUGGUAUCUUUCCCUUUUCCUUCUCCUCCUCACCUUUGAUGAAGAAGUAGUCAUGAAGUGUAAAGAAGAAAACUUUCAUCUAAUUAGGAGAUACUUGGGGGUGCAAUUUUCUGGGAUUUUUUUUUUAUAUCUUGAUGGCAUUACUCCUUCUAGUUGGAUCUCAUAAUUCAGAUAAUUUAAUCUCCAAUCACAAGAUGAUCCGUUCAAGUUGCUGAAAACAAAAAUAGAAGCAACAAAUUAUUGCUUCAUGAAUACAUGAAAAAUUAUCUCAUAAAUUUUGAUUCAUUUUGGUGUCAUUGCAGGUAAAGAUGCUAGGAUUGAGCCACAUAUUGAUCUUAACGUCUAUAUACGUCAUAACCUUCUUUCUCCUUAAUCUAUGUAGCAAGAUAAAAACACUUAGGCACAAAGUUACAUCUUCUAUUCUGGCUCCAAAAAUCACUAUCUAGAUUUUACAUAAUUAUACUUCUUGCUAACAUGUCGCGGCGUUGUUAAAUUGAUGCUUUAGGGAUACUUCCUUGGAAACCCACCAUUAAUCAUCACUAUCAUCACCUUCUUCUUCCUUACUAGCGGCUUCUCUUUCUCUCUCUGAUAUUAUUGCCGCUGCCAUGUGCAACAGUAGCAGCGGUUGCUGCUGCUACUGUCUUGAUCUACCGCGGCUUCCCUAUCAAAUGGCGGGCCAAAGGCCGGCCUUUGUUUAGCCAAGAGGUGACCGAGGUUGUACCGGCGACCUAGCAGCAAGGAAGGGUCAUGCGACCCUUUCUUGUUCUCUCCCCGAACCGCACCUUUUUUUUUAACCCCAUCAGCUUUCCAUAUUUUCCUUUCUAUACAAAAACUAACCCUAAAAUUAAGGAAGAUUCCUGCCUUGACCCGAACUCUUUAGAUUUUUCUUCAAAUUUUGCCCUUAAUUGAUUUAAUUACACGCUUUUAUGUUGGAGCGAAUAUGAAUGUUGUAUUCUUUAGUAGGCAAGUUAAUUAUUAUUAUUUUUUUUUUUUUGGACAAGAGAUGGGGUGGAAUGUAAGAAACGAGUAGGGAAAGAGGAAAGAAGGAUUUAAAUCCAAGUCCUCCAAUUCUUAGAGUCUUAAUCUUAGUUAAUUAAACUAUUAAACUUUUAUGCAGUAUUGUUUCAUAUGUCAUACUCUUCAUUAGGGUCUACUGAGUACUUAUGCGUUGAUUCAUAACUUUUGGAAAAUCUUCCGAGUAUCUAAUUUUUACUUUUCCAAUAUCCUUUUAAUAAAUUUCACAAUGAUCUAACAGAUAUUGAUGUAGUUCCAGACUAUUAACAUCAAGAUCUGAAAACAUAUGCUUUUGAGAAUUUUGAGAGUGUUGGUAAUAAAUAAGCACAUACUUAGUUCACAAAAUUUAGAGUAUUGUGGAGGCAAAGUUUGUGACGACCCCACCUCCCCCUAAGGCGUACCAAAGGGUUCAGCGGACCGCCUGCCCAGCUCUCGCCAGGACUCACUCACUAGCUCACGCGAAUCACAUACAUACACAUCCAUCAUGAACCAUAAAUAACAUUCUCAAUUCAAGCUUAUAACAUACAAGGAUAGGAAUCAGGGUACAAAGUCUCGAUACUCAAACUAGUGCAAAACGUAUAGAAUCUAAGUACAAAAUGUUUCAUUCGAAGAAUGCGCGAGUACAGGCCCAAAAGUCAAAGUUCAAAAACAAAAGGCUACGCUAGUCUUUCUCAAGUCUCACGCCUCGCUCGUACCCCUGUAAGGAAAACAAACUAACGGGGUGAGCCAAAACUCAGUGAAGUUCCCAAAUAUCAAAUUGGUCAACAAAUCAAGUGAUAACAAAGUAAUAGUGAAAUAGCGAGCAAACAAGUCAAAUCAGGAAAAUAGUACUUCAGCUAGCCAGGUAAUAUCAGGUUCACAUUCACAUGUAAGGAUACAGUAACCCAUGUCACGGCUCCAUUCCAGCUUGGUCAAGUGGUAGUUGACACUCCGUCAACUUUCAAGUCAUAACAAGUCCAAAAUAAAACUCCACUACACGCCAAUCUCCGUCCACCAAUCAACCCCCUUUUUCCGGGCCCGCACGGCAUACAAAACAUGGGUGGUAAUACUCGAGUAUACCGUUUAGUCAAGGAGAUAACACUCCACUCGACAUUACAAGUGACUCAGGGUUCGUUAUCUAAUCGACCAGGCCCUUGCCGGCUCGAUUCGAUUAACUAGCCACAGGGUUUCUGGAAUUCCAGGCAGGACAUAUCUCAAGUACAGGUAAAGCAAGUCAAGUGUAAUCAAUAGCAAGAACAAGUCAUAUUAGGGCAAGUGCGGUAAAGUACACCCUUGCCCUAUCAUUCAUUCAUCAUGUAAUCAUGUAAGUCAAGUAAGAAACAUAUGUACCAAGUACAAUCGGAUAUUUGGAAGCACUCGCCAAAAUAUGGUGCUUCAAGUAUUCACGUUCAAUUAUACUCCAGGCUUGGAGUCCAGAUCUGCGAUAAAAAUUCAGUUUGAGAACUUUGAAACACGAGUAGGAUUCGAAACUUAAACGUUCCGUUCAUUAAGAAUCGACCAAUUGAAAUUCAUUUGAAAGACACUCGUGAAACACUUGCUCGCUUUUUAAAUCAUAAGGUUUUGUAGCAUAGAUACUUGGAAAUAACACUUAAGUUGAAAGUAUAAGGAAAUACAAGUUUACAUUGGUCAUUAUGUCUUUUGUAAGGCCCGAAAACAACCAAUGAGACAAACAUAAACAAUGGAAAGAUCACAAACGAAACAAUAAGUAAAUAAAAAGGAAAGGAUUGCAAACCAAUUAACUACCCAACUCCUCUUGAGCUUGUAGAUUAAUUGAAACAAGCUACUUCAAGUUGAUGAAUUACAAUCACUCUUGUGUACAAAGGAAGGUUCACCUCCUCCUUACCCCAAGCAGCACUUGGUCAAGCCAGGACGUUUUACUAUCCCUCAGGACAACCCUCACAGAGCUACACUCAUGAAAGAUUCACUCACAAAUGAAAAGCUUACAAUGAACCUCACACCACUAAGACUACAAAUAUUCUUUUUGGAGUAUUUUCUCACUAAAAUCUCUCUAGAUCUUUUGUAUCUUCAGUGUGCCAAAGUUGUUUGAAGUAUCUGACCAACCACUAUUUAUAUAGGACCAAGAAAGAGCCUCAUUAAAGCUUCCAACGGAUAGAAAGUAGCUGAACAGUCAACUAGCCGUUGGUGUAGUGUCGGACAUCCGAUAGCACUGUUUUAUGCGUCCGACAGCAGGCAGUGAGUUUGAGAAAUUUUCUUCAAUUCUUUCGGACGUCCGAUAGGCUGGUUUUCUGCGUCCGAAGGUAUGAUGUAAAACUGAGAAUUUUUCUUCAAUUCCUUAGGACGUCCGAUAGACUGGUUUUCUGCGUCCGAAGAUACUCAAUGGUUGUCGGACGUCCGAUGCAGUCUUUUUGAGCGUCCGACAGCUUCAGCAUACUUUGUCUUCUUCCAAUUGCACUUGUUCAUGGAAUCAAAUAAUUUCAUAACUGAAAAUAUAUCUUGAAGAAAUAUUAGUAUCAUCCAUUUUUUGUAAACAUCAAAAGAUAGGGAUCAAGAUCAACAUCUUUUCCUCAAGGGUACAAGUUCGGCCAAGUCCUAACGUAUAACCCUCGAUAAACAAAGUAGCAAAGGUCCUCGCUAGUUCAAGUGAUAAUCGCUUAACCCUUACUCACGUUGCAAGUAUAGUUUUCUAGUCCUCGAGCAUAAAUUCGGGCAGCAUGCCCUUUGUGUUUACCUAAUUUUCCAGCCAUUUAGGCUUCAUUAUUUUUCCUCAGCCACAACCCAAAGUCACACAUAUCAUAAUUCAAGUCAAAAGCCGUUCCAUAGGCUCAUCAUAUCAUAAGAAUAAGAAUCACAAUAAUAACAAGUGCAGAAAUACAAUCUAGCACAAGACAGAUUUGACGUCUGGAUGCGGAAAUAACAUAUCCGAGGCUACGCUUAUCGGAUUGAGGCGCAACUUAUGCUAUUUCGAAGCUAAGACACAGGGCUACAAUGUUCAUGAAGGUCACUUAGUCCAGUUUCCAAUGCAACUUAGUCAAAUCCUCAAUUUACAGAACUAAAAUCUAACUCGUCGGCUAUCUAACCGCAUUGUACUGUAAUGGUCAUAUCUCAGGUUACAAAAGUCCGAUUCAGGUGUUCUUAGAGGCGUUUGAAAGCUAAGUCAGAACACUACAACUUUCAUGUUUUGGUAAAAGCUAAAUCAGUACGGAUCCUAGUGGAAAAACGUGAUAAACUGGAUAAAUUGACCAAACGGACUGCUGGGAAAAAACUUAAAAUAGUAAGGGUAUUUUGGUCUUUUCAUGACCUACGUUACUCCGAUUGAGUUGAAAUUUUGUAGGCACCUAUAAAAUACCAUUCUCUACAACUUUUAUGCUUUGACCUAAGGCCAAUUCGGCCUCUAACAUAGGGCUACAAAACCGGACAGAAAGGAAGCAAAAUUUUCCAGAAAUCUGGAAUUUUUAAUUUUUAAUGCAACCUUCCUCAAAUUCUUACUUCAAUCACUACCAAAACCCCUUAUACAACCUUAGUUACAACAUGUAUGCAUCAUACAUCAAAUUGGCAGCAAGUCCUCAAACCCUAGUUCAUCAAAUCAAAAAGGGGAAAACCUCCAAAACAUGAUAACAUCCAUGAUUCACCACAAAUUAAGUUACUAAGCUUAAUUUAAACAAGAUUGAAAGUAAAAAAUUAGAGAGAUCAUCUUCCUUACCUUGAUUAGAGUUCACCAAGUAUAUCCCUAGCUUCCCCUUUCCAAAAUCUCACCAACAAUCACUAACUAAUCACUCAAAGGUAAGUUUAAUCGGUUUAUUUCUUUUGUUUUCUCACUUAGUAGUUUGAUUCAAGAAGAAAUGGAGAGAUUUCCCUUGGUGUUUUCUUCCUUCUUUCUCUCGGCCAAAGGGUGCAGAAAUGAAGAGGAAAGUUGUGAAAUUUUGAUAAUAAAUAGAAAGUCCUUGUCUUGGUCAAGAAGCCUUUAGGUGGCGACAAGUCACCACCUUUCAUUUUUCUCUUUCUUUUCCUUGCAUUUCUAGCCUUAGGAUUUGGUCAAACCAGCUGCCAAGUAAGAAGACAUUUUGCUCAAAAGUCAAUAAGCUUGUUUGGUAAGAAAAAUGGUGGUCAAGUGGUGGCGUUCAAUCGGUAGUGCGCGGGACCCGCCGGUUCGCGCCGUUUUUCUUAAAAACACACGUACUAGGGUUUUUUCUUCCCAUUUACUAACCUUAUAUCAUUGCUCCUAUUCACAUAUUAUUUCUCACUUAAAAGUCACUUUUAAUCACCAAAUUGAUCCUUGGUCAGUACCAAAAAUUCAUCGGCAAAAAACAAUCGCGAAAACCCUAAUUUGCUCAAAUCUUGAAAACGAAGAAUAAAACCCUACUUUCUAGAUUCAUUUGCACUUAUUAUGGAAUAAUUGGAUAGUAGGGCUUUAAUAAAUGAUAAUUUUCAAAUAAAAGGAAAUUUUUAAGAAAACGUGAGGAAUUUUUCCAAUUCCAGUAAUUAAAAUUAGAGUUUCAAUUAAAAUAGGAAAGAUUUAGGAAAACCGGUUAGUUACAAGUAAACUAGGGUUUUGACUAAAAUUUUAGGGUUUCUAGUCUUUUAAAACAAAAUAAGGUUUUAAAUCAAACCCCAAAGAAAUACACUUUAAUAUUUUCUUCACAAACAACCUCCUAAUAUUCGGGAUGUUACAAAGUUAUUUGAUCUAAUGGAUUGAGACAUAGGGUCAAUCACAAAUACUACAAGAUCUGAGUCCUACACGGAAGACAUGGAAAGUUGGCGGGCAAUGAUUGGCUUAAAAUAUGAUAUUAACCGUGCAAUGAAGACGUUGACGAAUUAUAAUAGAGAGCCAAUCUUAUAGUGAAAACAUGGACGAAUUGUAACUGGGAGUCAAACAUACAAUGAAACCGUGGACAAUUUUUCAGCAAGAUAAAGAAGAUUAUGUACGUUAGUCUAAUUUAAUUUCAAUCUCUAAGCAAGCUUAAGUUCCACCAUGGGAUUUAUUCGAUUUUAACCUAUUUUAUAUCCUUUCAACUAGAUUGGUCCCAUAUUUGCUUCUGCUUUAGUCGGUUGAACCGACCUGUGUGGUCCAAUUUGUCCAAAAAUUGAGUUUGGAUGAGAUAUGAUUGAAAAAUUACACAAGAAACUUAAAAUUUGUAGGUCCAGCGUACCAAUGGGGUAGAAGGAAUUGUACUCUUAAAUCUCAAUACAUGUUAGUUCAAUCAUAGAUAUAGUUAAAAUUUGUUAGGUGUUGUUUCCCCCUCACACAUUAACCAUGUUUCCUGCACCCUUUCACAACUAUCUCCCCUCACACAUUGGGUCUUAAGUUAGAACAAUAUCAACCUUUUAUUCGAUGGACAACAUUGCAUUUAAUUGUCUAGUAGGAGGAGUUGCCAUUACUAUGCUCCGAUAACAAUGCUGGAUAGGGAUGGCAAUGGGACUGGGGGAUCCUCUCCCGUCUCCUACCCUGUUGCCAAACAUCUCCCCCUACACCCACCCCAUCCUUUGCCCUUGCUCCUCUCUCCCUUGCUCCUACUUCUGCUAGCUCUCCCGGGAUGUUUGCUGAGAAUGAUAAAAAAUUGAUCUUGUCGCUAUUUGCUUCCACAAUAACUAACAAAAAUUCAACAUAUCAACCCAUUGGGGGGGGUGUUCCUCAUUGCCUUCCCAAGUGCCAAAAGUUAAGGUUUCCCUCACACAAAAGCUAUGCCAAAAGUUAAGGUUUCUCUCACACUUAUAACCAAAUAUUCUAUCGCUUCCACAAUCAUUACAAAAUAAACUCAAAAUUUACCAUUCACAUCGGGCCGAGGUUGGAAUAACUUCAACCUUUCAUCCGACAAGCAACAUUUCAUUCAAGUGUUUAAAUUGAUUAAUUUUUCAUUUGAAGAUGAAAUUGGUCAAUAAUUGAUAGUUUAAAUACUAAUGUGUUAUGUUAAAAAGUUUGAGAACGAAAUAUAUCUAUGACAUCAAUUUUAGGGAUGAAAACUGUCAUUUUCUCGCUUUUCUGUCAAUAUGUUAAGUUAUAAGACGCUCUGGAUAAAAAAGGAAAAUGUUUCUUUGAAAACUUUCAUUUAGGAGAUACUUAGGAUGCGAGUUUAUGGGAUCCUUUAUACCUUCAUUGUGUUUGUACUCUUUCGUGUUGGACCUCAAUAGUUCAAAGUUCUAUGUUAUCUCCUGCCACGAGAUGAUCAGUUGAAGUUUGCUAAAUACAAAGAGCAUAAGAUCAACAAUUUGUAGCUCUAUGACUAUACGAUUAAUUAUUUAGGCCCUAAAACUUACCUUUGAUGAUCUUCUUUUUUCUACUCUACAUAAGCUAGAUUGAUUACAUGUUAUUUGGAGAAAAUUUUACCAUCCUGAGGUUAAAACUGAGACAUUUCCAUUUAUGAGGGAUACAUACUUGGACACCCAGCGACUAAAGUUCAUGAAAUUUUUUACUAUGUAGUCCUGUUUGCUUAUUGUAUGGGCCUGAUUUUUUAUGAACUCUACGAGGAAUUCUGAUGAACUAUGGGGGACGUGGGGGAGGGAGAGAAUAGGGAAGAUGGGCGGACGAGAAGGUUGCAAGCUAGUGACGUCGGCAUCGGCUGGCCGACAGUGGCGGGUUGAGGUGGGGGAAGGAAGAAAAUGAUGGAAAAAGUGAAAAAUUUGAGUGUUCUUCGAUAUUACGGGACGUGUACAUUAAAAAUUUUAAGAUGUUUAUAGAGGAUUACCGUAAACAAAAUAGUUAAAAAACUUGUCCAUUAAAAAUUAGACUAAAAACUUGCAUGCGAGACAGGUUCGGGAACUGACCGAGAAUUGUACUACAGUUGUAAGGCCACAAUUAUGGUAUUGGAUUUGGACCUCACGUAGAACUAUACUAUAAUUGCACGGAGUUUCGCGUUCCUCGUACAUGAACAGCAAUUGGCCCACGAUAAUUUGAAGCAAAACGAAAACAAAGGACGAAAAGAUUAAAACCGAUUUUGCCAAUUAACGUCAAAGAAAUAUUUUGACAAAAACUAGGAAAGUCUUCAUUGUUGGUCCCCAAAUCUGCAAUGAGCAAUGAUUAAACUUUUAUCUUACCGAAAAAGAAAAUUGAAAUCGACUAACCUAUUAUUGGAAUCCAAGCACGAAAUAAACAACUAAUAAAACAUCAAGUUAAUAACAAUUCAAAGAAAUGAGUCAAAAACAAGAAAAUACAAUUGACAGGAAAGAUUUAACAUGUUCAUAGUAAUAACCCAUUCUUUAUUAUGAAAAAAGUUCAUAUAAAAAUACAAUUUGAAUUCUAAACCCAAACCUUGUGUAAUAUUUCUCAUAUACCAAAGUCCUUUUUCUCACUCUCAUCUAUAACACAUGACUCCUUUUUGUGUACUUUAAUUUAUGAUAUGACAGUCCCCUUCAAUUUAAAGGAUAUAUUACUUGACAAAUAUUUCAAUAAUAAUAAAAAAAAUAACUUACCUGAUUUCCAAACGUAUAUAAAUACAUAUAAAUUACUAGAAACUAUUUACUUGUCACACAAAAUAAAAAUUGCCUAAACAAUAUAAGUAAUUUCCUAAUAAUCUCCACCAAAAAGCUUGAUAUGUAGUUAUACAUACCGAAUUAUUACGUUGUUGCAACGUCCAUACAUAGCUAAUCCGAGUCCAACCUUUAGCUGACUUAAGUUUGUAGGAUUUUCCUUUUCAGCAGCACUUACAACUUGAAAGUAAUCUUGGAUCCCUUUUUUAAUUCUACUCUCAACUAUUGAGGUAAUCAAGUAACAAAAUUUUUUUUUUUUAAAUAAUCACCAUACUUCUUACCUUCACAAUAUUGUCGCACCCAUGUGUGCCUUUUAAAAUCCCACCAUUAAUGAAAACCUCGUAACUUUGAGAGUCUCGGGAUGCAUAAGAGUUAGAUUUUUUUUUUUUUUUGGAUUUUUUUGAUACACGUGUCAUACCGCUCAAACAACAAAGCUGAAACACAUCCAACAUCAAGUACACACCAUUCGAAAUUGUUAAGAACAUUUCCACUAAAUUACAUCCUAAUUUAACAUUGGACUCUAUGUUUUUCCGUGUCCUCUAAAUCACUUGCCCAACUUUACUGUCAAAUAUCCUCUAUGUUUGUUGUCUUUCGAUCCUUUCCCUUCAAUGCCAAGACUUUAUGACAUGAACAUUCUUUUUCUAUUAAAUUAUUAAAUUGAAAAUUACCGCAACUCACUUAAUAUCAAUAAUUAACCAAAACCUAGCUAUGAUAUUAUACCAGAUGCUGAGAUCCAAGAGCAAACGAAGAAUCAUUGAAAAAUUAAGUGCAUGACAAUUUAAAGGAAGCAAAUAAAAAACAUGAAACUUCGAGCAAAUACAAAAUUAAUGUAGUUUGAUUCAAUUAUUAAAUCUAUAUCUAUAAAGACAAAACUCGAUAUGUGAGAAAAAUACAAAAAUCUAAUUUGAAUUCCGAUGCAACCGUACUAUGACAUUUCUCACGUAGCAGGGAGCUCUGCCCUCAUUCUCAUUACAUGCUACUACUUAAAACAAAAAUAAGGCAAUUUUCAUAACAAGGUAAAUUUUAUUCCGUCCUUACGCCACCUUUUAAGAAGAAAAGCUUAAGUAUGACACUUGGUAAAGAAAAGUGCACGUAACUUGAAAGUUGGGUGGCAACUUCAAAAAAUUCUUUAAUAAACCAAACUCGUAUAAUUUUUUAACACAUGUCAAGCAUUGUAUGAUUUAUAAUUUGCUUGAAACAUAUUUCAAGUCGUUAAAAUGAGAGAGCUCAAAGGAUAGGGAGACCUUUUUCUUCGUUUUUUUUUUGAUAAAUUCUUCUGAUGAGUUGCUUUGUUUUGAUCGAUCAUUCAUUGGUACUUGGCAGAUUUCUUCUUUUCGCAAACAUCUGGACAGUUAUUUAUGUACGGUUAAAAUUUAGGUAAACUUAGUUUUCAAAAAUUUAAUAGUUGAAAUUGUAUUACACACCAUUUGACCAAGCAAUGUAACGUAAUUACCAUCUUUGAAAACCGGUGCUAAGUCUUUUCCAUGCCCCUUUACAGUAAAGCUAUCAUUUCGAAUGAUAGUUCGAUCCGGCAAUGCAUGAGUUGGCAAACAAGACAUUUGUGUUGCUAGAGUCAGUUAAAUUUGUGGCUCCGAUAAGGCGAUUCUCUGUAGACAUAGCAGCUUAUGGGUUAGAGUUCCAAAGUUCCAAGAACUCUAUCCAAGUGUCUGGAGUCUAAAGUUGCUCUGCCUAGUGCCCUAAACGAGAGAUAGGCCAAGCUCUAUGGAGAAGUUGCAGGUGCUCCUAAGGCAUCCUAUCUUCUGCAACCUGUUCUUGCUGCUAGUUUAUGUUCAAGCAUGUUCAAACCUUGCUAUGGCUGGUUCCAUAGUUAAGUUUCUUCCAGGAUUUGAAGGACCCCUCCCCUUUGAACUCGAAACCGGGUGAGCCACUAAGUAUAACAUAUAUAUAUAUAUAUAUAUAUAUAUAUAUAUAUAUAUAUAACACUAGAAAUUAACAUUGAUCAAAACUUAGAAGAAAUAGUUGAUCCAUUUUCUGAUAUUAUCAGGUAUAUUGGGGUUGGUGAAUCAGAGGAUGUGCAGCUCUUCUACGCUUUUAUCAAGUCAGAGUCAAAUCCUCAAUCGGAUCCUCUUAUCCUUUGGUUAGAUGGAGGCCCUGGCUGCAGCUCAUUUAUUGCACUUUUCUUUGGGACAGGUGAAUUCUAAUGCCUUACACUUUGCAUUAGGUGUCACCCAAAAAAAAAAAAAUUGCGGCACUUUUUUGUUCUUGAUUUUGUAGAAUCUUGAAACCUGGAGGGUGCAAAAUUGUAAAAUGUUGAGUCGGAUUCAAAAUUUUUGAAAUCGAUAAUUUAAAAUUUGGAACUAAAAUCGGUUUUUCGAUUUUGAAUUAUGCAAAUUUGGUUCGAAUUCAAUAAUAGAAUUUUUCAAAUCAAAAUUCGAAAUUCUUAUUUCGAUUUUAAAUUUAUUUUUCAUGUGUAUGUAAUAUAACAUUUACAUAAUAAUAAUAAUAAUUUUAUAUUGAAAUUGGAAUUUAUCGAAUCUCGAAUUGAAUUCGAAUAAGAAAUUUUGAUGCCAAAAUUCCAAAAAAAUAUCGAUUUCAAAAUUUCAAAUUACUGAUUUCGAUUCCGAUUCACACUUCGUACUUGAAACUCUGCAAAAAGACAAAAGACGUUGUCUCGUUGAUGAAGCUUUGUGUAAGGUCUUUUGUUUUGUUUUUUGGGUAAAAGUAUUAAUUUUAUUGAAUAGCAUCCAAUUGUCGCGAGUAGCAACUGCUACAAACCUCUAUACAAUAACUAACUACACAUUCACAUCAAAUUAAAGAUGCACGUAGAAAAGCCCAAAAUAUAAACUAAGCUCCAAAAGCACACACCUAUAUAAUUUUCAUAUGUAUUGCUAUAAUAAAAUUUUUGAAAAACAUUUCUAAAACCAGCUAAUUCAAAUGGAGUCAUAAUCUUUAUUUGUCUUUAAUGUUCAAGUGAUGAUGACUGAUAAACUGGAGUGUCAGCAUUUGAUCAAGUCACUGGCUCGUGAUUUUCUGUUGCAGGACCAGUAACUUUCGAGCCAUUGUCGUUUGAAGGCACUCUGCCCAAGUUGGUAUUAAAUCCCUAUACUUGGACCAAGGUAAACUCAAGAAUUGAGUUUCUCUUAUCUUUUAUUUUAUAUCUUAGACUCAUGGAAGUGUUACUUAGUAUUUAUUAUUAUGUGAUGUAUUCUAGAUGAAAAGGUUACUGCGAUACAUAUAUAAAUAAGGUUCCAAAAUUUUUUUUUGAAAUAAUGUUCAAAUCAUCUUUAUCCAAACAAACCUAAUUUUCAAGAUUAAGAAUUCGAGUUGACUGCAAGAUUGAGAAUCAUUUCUUGUUACUUGUUAGGUUGUAAGCAUCAUCUUUCUGGAUUCGCCAGUAGGAACUGGUUUUUCUUAUGCUAAGACUGCACGAGCUUCUCAAUCUUCAGAUUUUCUAGCCUCUGAUCAAGCUUAUGAAUUUAUCAGGAAGGUACACGCCCAUCACUCAGCUAAUUAAUGAAUCGUAAGGCUUCAUGGAACUUUGGACAAUUACUAAUCAGGAAAAUGCCAUAUUUGUCUCUAGACCCUUUAUUAUGCAAAAAGACCAGUGUACUAUCAUUAAUUAUUUUCCUUCUGAAUAGUGGAAUCCUGCAUGGCUCCGCCCAAAAUUGCCUCCAUUGGAUUCAAGUUCUCUAUGAACACAGUUUUGAUUGUAUAGAACAGUUGACAGUGGAAGAUGAAUAAAAGUUGCAUCAAUAAUAAUUGGCUAAGGUAGUUGAUAGGGUGAAACACCUCAAGAAAGCUCAUCAAAAAGCCCAAUAUGUAAGUCAGGAAGCCAAUCCUGACCCAAAAGUUUAAGUCAUUAGAUCUCGGGCCUUUAUUUACAUAUUAAUCGCUCUUUCUUCAUCUCUCGGAUCAAUGUAGGACGUAAUCUUUUACUCACGAAUUUAACAGUAGUUUUGGCAGUUAGCGUCGUGGAAGCUAUAGUAGAGGAGGAGGUCAGGCAUGUGGCUCUUGCAUGGGGAAAGAUCCCAAAGUCUCAUGAAACUUGGCAAUCUCUAGAAUGGAAUAUCCCAUUCACAGUGUUUAGUCAGCGAAAUGUUUUGAUACCGGCUCCUAUGAUAAUUAGUUUAACAUGUAUAAUGAGAUAUUCUAUCUCUUAUACAAACUUGUCCCAUAUCAAUAAACUUACAGUUUUACCUUGAAAACAUAGUGGAAGAUGACUAAUUUUGAAUUUGAUGCUUACAAUUCAAUUUUGGGUACAAAUUUCAAUAAGCGGGGCAAUUUAUUGUCUUUUCGCAUGUUGUUGUAUCUUGACAGGGUGUCGAAGCUUGUGCAAUAAUAAAUACCUGCUCAAACUAAAAGUAAUUUCUGUAGAUAAUGGUAAGCAGGGUCGAAUCCACAGGGAUUGGGAGUAAUUGUUUCUUCUCAAAUUCACAGUGACAAUGGGGUGUUUUAUGCAGAAAGUGACAAUCAAAUAAAUGCAAAUAAAAUCUAAGAAACUACUAAAAAUUAAAUAACAAAUUACCAAAAUCAAAUGAAUGAUAAUUAAGGAUCUAGCCAAGGAAUAACUUCAGCAAUGGUUCACCUAAUUGAUCAUCGAUAAGCAAAGGCAAUUCCAAUUAUUUACUAAUAAAUAGGUUAUAACUACCAAACAAGCGAUGGCAGUCAACCCCUCCUUACUGUGUCGGUGAUCAAGGUACGCCCGUUAAUCACUGCUCUAAUUGAGAAAUAAUCAAGGUACGCCCGUAGAAUUUAAUUCCCCAAUUGCCUUACGUAUUAGAGGAGCUCUAUUCUAACCAAAUAACGCACUACCAGGGUUAUUUUAGAUUAGCCCGCGUAUCCCCUGACACAAGUCUAAUUAUGCCAGUUGUCACUAUUUUGAGGCAAUUAAACAAUUACAGAUUUAACACCUCAAUUGACAAUAGAUUAUUAAAUUAACUAAUUAUCCGGAUCCAAGACAAUCAAUUAAUUAAACAACCAUAAGCACUGCAACCAGGGAAUAUGCGAAUACCAAUGAAUAAAAAGAAAAGAUAAAAUUAAAUCGAUCUCACAAGUUUAGGCGACCCAAAGCAUCCGUUGUCCCUUGACUAGACAAAGGGAUUUAGUUCAUGUUUGCAGAACAAAGCCCAAACAGAAUUGCAGAGAGAGACGCAGCCAUCAAUCAGGCAAAUGCCCAAGUUCAAUUCGUUUGAAGGAGUAAGCUAAGCUAUCCUGCCAUGCGUAAGAAAAGUAAAAAGCAAAGCUCCAGGAAAAGUCAACAAUAAAGCUCCUAAGCUACAGACGAAAGACUAAGCAAAGCCAGCCAUCCUUUCCUCUCUGAAGCAUUCUACUCUAAUGCCUCACCAUUGUGCGGCGGCUCUCCUCCGAGAGGAGGAAAAUUCGAGAGCCCAAGAAGACUUCGGCCUCCUCCUUUUAAUGCUGUCUGCGGGCCAAUUACCAAGAAGGGUUGUGGUUUGAUAUUCCAAAAAUGUCCCUAGAUGCCUGCUACUUGAACUCUUUCUUGAUAACUGUCAAAUUGGCCUUGAUUGUGAUAUUUUUGUUCUACUCCCUGAAAUAAAUAUAAAUUACGAAAAGUGAGUAGAAUCUACUAAUUAAUUCACAUCAGGUCAAGUAAUAGGGAAAAUUAAUAAUAAAAUAAAUGAUAAAAUUGCAACCUAUCAAUUUCUCCCACACCUAAACCAUGCUUGUCCUCAAGCAUAAGAAAAGUACACAGACACCAAAAUUUGAUAAUGGUCAUUGCUCUAUCCAACAAAUUGCCAAGGUACCAAGAAAAAUAAUAAUCAAGCAUCAAUGGUCAAGUCCAAGAAACAUCACUCCGGUUAGCUUCUAAACCACAAACUCCUCUAAUUUUAAGUUAACUGAUCUAAGAAAAAGGAAUAACGCAUAACAUUUAUCAGCAAAUGGUCCAACUAUUAACCAAAAUCUCAACAUUAAAUCCAUAAUUCGGCAAGCUGACUUUUAUUACACACUAAUACAACCUUCACUUUUUUUUUCACAUUUUUUCUACUUUUCUCUCUUUUUUUUUAUUUUGAUUUUUUUUCAAUAGUAACAAAAGACUUAGUCGCUAGCCAUUUGAGCCUUUUGACGCGAACUCCAACAUUGGCCAGAUGAAGGAGCCCGGUUACUCAGCUGCUAUCGCCACGUGACACGUACUCAUAGGAAUUACUACCUUUUGACCGCGAGAAUCAACACUUUUAGGUGCAGAUCCCCGAUUACUCAGUAGUAACUAAUAGCGGAGUACAGUCAAGUUUAUUCAUAGCUAAAAAUCACAAAAACUCAAUAUAACACAAGAACCAAAAGAAAACUUGCAUCAGCUAGCCUUAUUUUUAAACAUGGAGAACUAAAGUUAAUAAUCAGACCAAUUCACAUGAAAAUGCCAAUAAUCAUUCCCUAUGCCUAGGAAAGUUAACCAAAAAUUGUAAGAGUAAAACAAUCAUUGAUAUUCACCAAAGAGAUGUUUUUGGAUUCAACCACAUGAACUUGAUACUCUUUUAUUAUUAAAACUUGCAAAAGUAGAAAUAGAGGCAAUAAUCCAACAUCAAACCUUGGCAUGCACUUACGAGUCAAUCACAAAAGAAGAAAAAGAAAAUGAACGAAAGACACUAGCACCAUAACUGCUCCCCCCACACCUAAAUCCUACAUUGUCCUCAAUGGAGGUAAUAAAGUAAUGAAAGUGAAGAGGACAACGAAACUUCCCUCUUUGAGUGGCCAAGAGGUAGGCGGCGGCAGUGGAGGAAACCAAUGUGGUAGAAGUACGCGGCCAAGGUCUGAGACAGCUCAACUCAAUUCAACAGCAAAUGCAAAACUCUGUCUAUCCAAAAUCUCAACAAAUAGCUCCAGUUGGCCAGUUAAUGCCUUAACUCAGAAUCAGCAAUUUCAACAUUGAGAGUUUAGGUAUUUGACAAUAACAAUUCAGUCACAAGUUCUUGGCUGUCAAUUAGACAGCCAAUCAGAUAGAAUUACCAAAUCUAGUCAAAAUACCCCAACCAGUACCAUUGGUGCACCCACAGAUAAUGAAGCAACUUAAAUGGCAAACCCAAUCAACAAAAUGUACAUGUGAGGCACCCAAGGUCUAUACAAAUGUCCCAACAAAGCAGCGAUUGCAAUCAAUAAUCAGUAGUGGUCCUAAUUUACUCAAAUACAGAAUUAAUGCAGCCCAACAAUUCAACUGGAUGUACCCACCUUGACAAGCAAAGCAAGUGGCACAGGUUUCCCAAGUCAACAGGCAAAAAAAAAAAAAAAAAAAAAAACAGGAUUAAUCAACUCAAAGUCCAACAGAGAGUUCAAUUGAUUCCAAUCAUCAAUCCCAGCAACAUACGUUCCAAAUAAGCAAGCGGGUGUUAAGGAGAGGAGGUACCAAAUUUCAAUUUCAGUUACUCCACCAGUACCACUGGUGUAGCAAAUAAUGGAAGAGGAAUCGCACACGACCAAUACCAAAUCACCGGUAAACCAAAAUAACAACUAACACUGCCAUCACUUGAGAAUCGUAACAAUCAAAACACAAACAAAGCUGCCUCCCAAUUAGCAAAUGACAAUUCACAAAUCCAGCCCACCCAAAAACUGGACAAAUGUACCCAAAAGUUCAACAAAUAUUCGCAAGAGUAUGGCAAACUAGGAAUGAACAAGAUCUGGGUCAAAAUAUCACAACCAGUACCACUAGUUUACCACACAAAUUGAAGAAAUAACCCCAACGGCCAACAAUACCAAUUAUUGAAAAACCAGACAGCACCAAUGAAUAUUAAGAAAUUGGGGAAUAAAUUCCAAAUACCUCCACCGAAGAGAGUAGCGUGCGAGGUUGGCUGGGGCUGUUGGCAGCGUCCAAGUGCUGUCGGUGGCGGCGUUGGCUCGCGAUGGAGCUGCGACGAAGCUGGCUAUGCGAGCAGAGAGGGACCAGCGGGCUAGAGUGGCGCGCGCAGACAGUGGAGGGAACUUCAGCAGCGGCUGCGGUGGAGAGGUGGGUGAGCUGUGAUGGCGGCGCGCGGGAGAUAGGCGGCGCUGCUGCUGCGGUGAAAUCGAGCUGGUGGUGGCGCAAUCUGGCGUGCGGUGGUGGAGCUUCGUGCGCAGAGCAGCUGGGUUGCGCGCGAGGUAGAGCUCGGGUGGAGGUGGCGGCGGUAGCUCACGGUGGAGCUGUGGGCAGAGUGAGGGCCGCGAGGGAGUCUCGGUCGACCCAGAGGAGAACAGGGGAGAGGAAAGAAAGAAGGAAGAAGAAGAAAGAAAGAAAGAAAAAGAAAGAAAAGAAAAAGAAGGAAAAGAAAAGUUUUUGUUUUUUUUUUUUUUCAGGGAAAGACUCCCCUUUUUUUUUCUCCUUGUUACUUACUUGAAAACAAAAUUUUUUAAUUUUUUUUUUUGAAAUUUUUUUCAUAUAUUAUCUUCUUUUUUUUUAUUGACAAAAUUUAUUUUUGGAAUUCAAAAGUAGAGAUUAACAGGAAAUCAAUAAUCGUUCUUGAGUUUCUUUGAAUACUUACCUUUCCGCGAACGUGACGCGAGCGCGUCAUGAGGGCAAGAGAACUCCCAGAAGUUUCAGAAGUUUCUGAUCGUGAUCGUCCUGCACAUCACCACGCGGGCACGUCAUGAGGGCAAGAGAGCUCCCAGAAGUUUCAGAAGUUUCUGAUCGUGAGCGUCCUGCACAUCACCACGCGGGCACGUCAUGACUGAAGGGCACCUAUAAAUCAGCAAAAACGAAAACUGAAAUCCAAAAUCAGUCGAAUUCAAGGAGAGCACAUCUAAACUACCUCACGAAAAUGAACAAACAAUUAAAAGGAACAAUUGGGUUGCCUCCCAAGGAGCGUUUUUCUUUAAUGUCUUUGGCUAGACAUUAUUAUGUUUUACUCAUGGAGGAUAAAAUCGUGUGACUCGUCUUAAUGCUUCAUCCUCUAUAUAGUCCUGAUAACCCUCGUAAAUAGAAUAAUCUUUGAGCUUACGAGCUACGGGCUUCCAUGGACUAGUGAAUGACGCCAAACGAGUCGAUGAUAAUUUGCAUUCUCCAUUCACUCCUCCCUCACUUGCAUUUAUUGGUUCAAGAUAUCUUGCCAUCGCCAUUCUUAAUUUAUUCCUGUCAUGAAAUUCAAAAUUGUCUGGUAUAAUAAAGUCAAUUUCGUUAACAGGAAUUGAAGAGUAAGAGUCAGGAGAAUAUUGAUGAAGGAGUGGAGGAGAUGUCACCGCAUUUGGAGAUUGUUCACUGGAUUCAUUCACUUGAAUGGGUUGCGGUUGGGGUUCCAUUUCUUCCUUUUCGGCUUCUUUUUCAACUGCAUCUGUAGAUUUCUCAUUUUGACACUCUUGCAUCUCCUCAUCACUAGUCAGGCAAAUUGCACUCUCAUUUUCUUCUAGAUCAACAAUGGUUUUCGAGGGCAAUUCUUCCAUUUGAGAAGCCAAUCGAUUCAUUCUGGAUGUCAAUAGACAUAGUUGAUUCGCCAGAUAACUCAUUGCAUCCUUCAUCAUCUCAUUCCUCAUUUGUGUCUCCUGUUGGGAUUUGUAUGUAUUAAUAAAUAACUCACCCAAUUCCUGAAAAGACAUACCUGACAGGGACGAUAGUUGUUGAGACUCUUGCUGUUGAAAAUCCAUUGGCCCGGUCGCAUAAUCAAAAUUGGAAUUAUCCCACCAUCCUUGAUCAUACCCGUUUGAAUAAGGGUCAUACUGCAUUUGAUAUUGGGGUGGAAAAUCUCCAAAAGUAUCAAUUGGAGCACUUAGAUUGUCUUGAAAUGCGGGGCAUGUGUCAGUUGAAUAACCUGAGUCAAAAUAAGUUCCACAAUUUGCAACAGUCCAUUGAUCAUUAGGAAAAACAUGAGUCUCAUACUGCUGAAAAUUCAUUGGCCCCGUUGUAUAAUUAUAAUUGGAGUUAUCCCACCAUCUUUGAUCAUACCCGUUUGGAUUAGGGUCAUACCACGUUUGAGACCAGGGUGAAAAUUCUCCAUAAUUAUCGAAUGGGACACUCAGAUUAUCUUGAUAUUCGGGGCACAUACCUGUUGAAUGAUCCCUGGCAUAACAAAUUUUACAAGUUGCAGCAGCCAUUCUUUUUCUAAUAGAGUUUACUGCCUCUGCAUAUGCAGACUUAGCGAAAAAACUAGUCACAUCGCAUUUUCCGGAAACAAAAUCCAGUAUCUCACCAAAAUACGAAGUGUUAGAAGCCAUAAAAAAAAUAAGAGAAAAAUAAAAAUAAAUAAAUAAAAAUAAGAUGAACUCAAAAAGAAACAAAUUAAUCUGGCACCAGUCCCCGACAACGGCGCCAAAAAUUGACAGGGUGUCGAAGCCUGUGCAAUAAUAAAUACCUGCUCAAACUAAAAGUAAUUUCUGUAGAUAAUGGUAAGCAGGGUCGAAUCCACAGGGACUGGGAGUAAUUGUUUCUUCUCAAAUUCACAGUGACAAGGGGUGUUUUUAUGUAGAAAGUGACAAUCAAAUAAAUGCAAAUAAAAUCUAAGAAACUACUAAAAAUUAAAUAACAAAUUACCAAAAUCAAAUGAAUGAUAAUUAAGGAUCUAGCCAAGGAAUAACUUCAGCAAUGGUUCACCUAAUUGAUCAUCGAUAAGCAAAGGCAAUUCCAAUUAUUUACUAAUAAAUAGGUUAUAACUACCAAACAAGCGAUGGCAGUCAACCCCUCCUUACAAUGUCGGUGAUCAAGGUACGCCCGUUAAUCACUGCUCUAAUUGAGAAAUAAUCAAGGUACGCCCGUAUAAUUUAAUUCCCCAAUUGCCUUACGUAUUAGAGGAGCCCUAUUCUAACCAAAUAACGCACUACCAGGGUUAUUUUAGAUUAGCCCGCGUAUCCCCCUGACACAAGUCUAAUUAUGCCAGUUGUCACUAUUUUGAGGCAAUUAAACAAUUAUGGAUUUAACACCUCAAUUGACAAUAGAUUAUUAAAUUAACUAAUUAUCCGAAUCCAAGACAAUCAAUUAAUUAAACAACCAUAAGCACUGCAACUAGGGAAUAUGCGAAUACCAAUGAAUAAAAAGAAAAGAUAAAAUUAAAUCGAUCUCACAAGUUUAGACGAUCCAAAGCAUCCGUUGUCCCUUGACUAGACAAAGGGAUUUAGUUCAUGUUUGCAGAACAAAGCCCAAACAGAAUUGCAGAGAGAGACGCAGCCAUCAAUUGGGCAAAUGCCCAAGUUCAAUUCGUUUGAAGGAGUAAGCUAAGCUAUCCUGCCAUGCGUAAGAAAAGUAAAAAGCAAAGCUCCAGGAAAAGUCAACAAUAAAGCUCCUAAGCUACAGACGAAAGACUAAGCAAAGCCAGCCAUCCUUUCCUCUCUGAAGCAUUCUACUCUAAUGCCUCGCCAUUGUGCGGCGGCUCUCCUCCGAGAGGAGGAAAAUUCGAGAGCUCAAGAAGACUCCGGCCUCCUCCUUUUAAUGCUGUCUGCGGGCCAAUUACCAAGAAGGGUUGUGGUUUGAUAUUCCAAAAAUGUCCCUAGAUGCCUGCUACUUGAACUCUUUCUUGAUAACUGUCAAAUUGGCCUUGAUUGUGAUAUUUUUGUUCUACUCCCUGAAAUAAAUAUAAAUUACGAAAAGUGAGUAGAAUCUACUAAUUAAUUCACAUCAGGUCAAGUAAUAGGGAAAAUUAAUAAUAAAAUAAAUGAUAAAAUUGCAACCUAUCAUAUCUUAAUGUGUACAAUUGGUUUGCUAGGGCCUAUAGUACACAGUGCAAUUACAACUGCCAAUUAUAGAGGCUCGGGUGGGCGAUAUUUGUUGCGUUUUUAUCCAUUUGAACCUUGAGUUAAAAGUUUGAUUUCCCUUGAAAUGGGAAAGAAAUUAUUGUUAAAAAGAUGUUUACCUUUUACAAGAUUGGUUUUGAUAUUUGAUUAUACUGCAGUGGCUACAUGAUCACCCAGAGUACAAGUCGAAUCCAUUCUAUGUUAGUGGAAUCUCGUAUGGGGGCAUUCCUGUUCCAAUAUUAACUCAACUUAUAUCAAAUGGUAAGAUUUUUUCAAUGUGGCUCUUUACCCUGGGGAAGUUUUUUGGUUGUGUUACAAUCUGAUUAUUGAAAUUGUUAUACAGAGAUACAUAGGCGUUGUAAGAGAUCUGAAUAUACUAUAAAUGCUUUCUGUAAGCUUGUAGUAUAUGCGAAGUCUCUUUAGGUAGGAAUAUAGUUGCCUCCCAAAGAAAUACCAUUCCAGUAGAAAUGUGUUGCCAAUCCAAAGAUAAGAAGCUUGGAUGUCACACACUCCAUUUGAACAAUGAUUUCCAUUGGGAGUUCAGUCUAGAUUUUAUCAGGACAACUUCGUACGUCUAGCAUUUCGAAUGGGGUAAAGAAUAAAGAAACUUUACAGUUUUUAACUUGGGACUUUGCUCGUGAAUUUUGUGGCAAAUUUUUAUAUAAGCUUAACAAGUGCAAUUGGGUUGUGAGGAAUGAUGGCUUCUAUAUCCGUGAGAAGGUAUUUCUUGCGUUUAUAAUAGGUUGAUGAAAGUGAAAGUGUGGUUGUAGGUCGCAAAUUAUAUUUUGUUUUGGCAGGAAAAAAGAUGAACAAGAUAAUUACAUACAAUUGCCACCUUAAGCUAAAUGGGUUUUAUUAACAUAAUGCAGAGCUUUAAGACGGGGAAAAAUGGUUAAAAGUUCCCUCAGAAAUUUGCGGGCUUUUUAUUCUUUUCUGUCCAUAUGUUAAGUUAUAAGACGCUCCAGAACAAAGCAAGAAAACGUUUCUUUGACCAGUUCAGAUUUCUACAUUAUCUCCUGCUACAAGAUGAUCAGUUGAAGUUUGCUAGAUACAGAGAGUAUAGGAUCAAUGCUUUGUUGCUCUAUGACUAUUAAGCCCUAAAACUUACAUGUAUUUUGGAGUUAUUCCAGG
rnacentral:lncRNA from 1 species